UUAUUCCUGAAAUGCUCGAGAAAACCUAUUAUUUUGAACCUACAUUUGAUAUAAGGGAGUCUGGAGUUUGGAAGCGGGUGUCAGGCCACAAGCUAAUUCCGACAUUCGAGCUUAAACGAAUGCAACGGCGGUGGAAGGCAGAAACUUUCAGCAGGGCACCCACCUAGCGUAGGCUAGGUGUCAAAAUAUAGGAAACGGCAUUUCGGGUAUUAA
rnacentral:other from 1 species